rnacentral:rRNA from 1 species
GACGAACGCUGGCGGCGUGCUUAACACAUGCAAGUCACGGGGGCCCGCAAGGGCAACCGGCGAACGGGUGCGUAACACGUGAGCAAGUUACCGAUUAGUGGGGGAUAGCCGGCCCAACGGCCGGGUAAUACCGCAUACGUUCAUCGCUCGGCAUCGAGUGAUGAGGAAACCUCCGGGGCUAAUCGAGACGCUCGCGGCCUAUCAGCUAGUUGGCGGGGUAAUGGCCCACCAAGGCGACGACGGGUAGCUGGUCUGAGAGGAUGGCCAGCCACAUUGGGACUGCGACACGGCCCAGACUCCUACGGGAGGCAGCAGUGGGGAAUAUUGCGCAAUGGACGAAAGUCUGACGCAGCGACGCCGCGUGUAGGAUGACGCCUUUCGGGGUGUAAACUACUGUUGCCCGGGACGAAACCCUCCUUUCGAGGAGAUUGACGGUACCGGGUGAGGAAGCACCGGCUAACUCCGUGCCAGCCGCCGCGGUAACAC